rnacentral:lncRNA from 1 species
UUUAUCAACAUGUGAUCCAGCAAAGUUAAUUGGGAUUUACCAUUAUUAUGAUAUAUUCUCUCCACCAAGAAAUACAUAGUUUUAGUUAACAACACUAGGCUAGAAUAUUUAAGUGUUUAAAAUGUUUUGAAUCUGUGUCCUAUUAAUGACUUAAAUUUAAUAUGUCCUAGACUUAAGAAUUAAGAGUGAUAGCUAACACUUAUAUAUAGGACUUACCAUUGCUCAAACAUUGUUCUAAAGGCUUUACUGGUCUUAUUUAAUUAACACAAUUCUGGGAGUUCCCAUUGUGGCUCAGUGGUUUAACAAACCCUACACGUAUCCAUGAAGAUGCGGGUUCGAUCCCUGGCCUCACUCAGUGGGUUAAAGAUCCCGAGUUGCUGUAGCUGUGGUCUAGGCCAGCGGCUGAAGCUCCAAUUUGACCCCUAACCUGGGAACCUCCAUAUGCCUCAGGUGCGACCCUAAAAAAACAAACAAACAAAGACAAAACAAAACAAAACAAAAAUUAAGAAAAUAAAAAAAAAAUCAACACAAUACUGUGAGCCAAUAAAUGGUGGAGCCAGCAUUUAGUACUUUGAUGGUUCUGAUCCAGCACGUCAUUCUACCACUCUGGGGGGAAACCUACAAAUCAGCAGACAGCUUCAGGACGAAUUCUUACAGCAAAGAGGAAGAAAUGGGAUAGCACGCCCCUGCUAAGUCAGAACCAACCCUGGAGAUUAGUGGGCUCUCAGAGCCAGAUCUCGCUCGCUGCUUCCUCUUGACGCGCAGUAAAAAUGUUCCAGAGUCAACAGGGCAGACCUGACAUUUCCUUUACAGCUAUGACACACGGCCUGGGUCAACGUACCUCCCAACUUUCCCGUGUGUAUUUACUUUUCAGAUUCAGGGGACAGAUACACUCCAGAAAAGCAGGACUACGCCAGAUUUAGUUUGUUGUGUUAAGGACAUGGUGGGGUGGGGAAUAAGAGAAGGGCCACACCCUUUAUCUGUGUUAAGAACUAUGUUGAGAAGAAGGAGGUGCAGAGUCUCAGGAAGAUCAUGCAGACAUCUCCAUGUCUCCAACGAGAGAAGUUCUGCUUUUCCUUCUAAUUUGGAGGGAUUAUCCAAAAUCUCAUUUGAAUUCUGGGUUCCAUGGCUAAGAGUUUAAAAACGAAUGGUGUCAUGGCAAGGCCCUGGAUCAGAUAUUAAGAGACCAGAAUUCUUAUUUCCAUUUGGCCACAAACCAGCCGUGAUCAAUCCUGGGUAGGUAAUACAGCAAUCUUGGUUUUCAGUUCUCAUUAAUACAACCCCAUUAUUUUUCAGAUUUCUCAGGCACAUAAAAAUAUCAUUCUAUCAAAAGUAAACAUAUGUUAGUGAUUUCACCGAAGACAGUUAAAGAAGGCAAACAAAAAUCUCACUUCUUACAGAAAGAAAGGUGUAAGGUAACUUACUGAUGAAGAGUGUACUGACCAUUAGAGGCUCUAGGUGUUUCCUCUUAGUGCUCAUAACACCACCAUGACCUUCAUCCUAUGGGUGAGAGAUUGAUUCCUCUCUAAGAUUUAAAUUUUUUGGGGCAUUUUAAUUUAGCUUGAUGAAGGCAAUUUCUGGGUAACAGGUCCAUAUGGUUUAUUAAAACCAUGAACAACAAAAGUUGACUCAACAACCAUGGCCCCUACAACAUGCCCUUGAUAAAAUAAGAAGCAAAUUAAAUACAGGUCAAACCUGCAAAGGGAACAUCUUAGAAUCCUUGUAUCUGGCUUCUAACCUCGACUCUACCACUUGAUGAGAAUUAAAGCAACCUCAUGGUCCUCAGUCUCCUCUACCUUAUCUCUCUCACAUUCUCAAAUAAGGGUCUAUGUUAAAUGACUAGCCAUUGGCAUAUGAAAAUUUUUAAAAAAGGUCAUUUAUGUCUUUAUUUCACAUGAUCAAAAGCCACACUGUUAAAUAGGCCAUGUGAAAAGGAAAAUUAAUUAAUGAAAGAAUAAUCCUUUAGUUCCAUUUGCUAUUUAGGCAUCUGGAUGGAGCAAGACGACUUUGGGGGGGGGGCGCUAAUGCAGACCCCCCUUUCCGACCAUGACCGAAGUCAAUUAAGUAAGAUAUUAACAAAGAGCUUCUGAGUCCAGGUUAAUUAACUAGAGAAGAAAUAAGACUUAAAACUGAAGAAAAUAAUUUCAUAAGGUUGAAGUGAAAGGUCACAUCCCACAGAACAAGAGAUGGUUGAUUAAGAUGAAAGGUAAAGAGAAGUUAUUGAAUGUGCUCAAGGACCAACACCAGAGAAUAAAUAUAGAAGACUCGAGUAUCACGUUUUAUGAGAUCAACUGACCCUUCUGUGGAUGCAAAUUCAAAAUCAGGAAAUAAUAUAAUACAAACUAGUGUGAACUGUGUUUAAAAAGGCCUCUUCUGAAAUAUAAAGGAUCGGUAUUGCUACAGCUCCCAUAUAGGUCACAGCUGCAGCUUGAAUUCAAUCCCUGGCCUGGGAACUUCCA